rnacentral:tRNA from 1 species
GGAGUGGUGUCCGAGUGGUCUAAGGAGCGGGCCUGGAAAGCUCGUAGUCGGUAAAACGGCUCGUGGGUUCGAAUCCCACCUACUCCGCCA